rnacentral:pre_miRNA from 1 species
GUUUUGAGAGUGGAGUUCCUUCAAGUUCAACAGAGGAUCUAACUGGUAAAAAUUAAGCUGCUGACCUAUGGAUCCCUCAGCCCUAUCAAUAAUAAUAAUAUUGUUGGAUAGGUUUGUGGCUUGCAUAUGUCAGGAGCUUCAUUAUUCUAAGUUGGAUCCUUUUUUGGAUUGAAGGGAGCUCUACAUUCAUCUCUC